UAGGGAAUCUUCCGCAAUGGACGCAAGUCUGACGGAGCAACGCCGCGUGAGUGAAGAAGGAUUUCGGUUCGUAAAACUCUGUUGUUAGAGAAGAACAGCGCAUAGAGUAACUGCUAUGCGUGUGACGGUAUCUAACCAGAAAGCCACGGCUAACUACUUGCCAGCAGCCGCGGUAAUACGUAGGUGGCAAGCGUUGUCCGGAUUUAUUGGGCGUAACGCGAGCGCAGGCGGUCAAUUAAGUCUGAUGUGAAAGCCCCCGGCUCAACCGGGGAGGGUCAUUGGAAACUGGUUGACUUGAGUGCAGAAGAGGGGGGUGGAAUUCCAUGUGGAGCGGGGAAAUGCGUAGAUAUAUGGAGGAACACCAGUGGCGAAGGCGACUCUCUGGUCUGUAACUGACGCUGAGGCUCGAAAGCGUGGGUAGCAAACAGG
rnacentral:rRNA from 1 species